CCCUGGCUCAGAGUGAACGCUGGCGGCAGGCCUAACACAUGCAAGUCGAACGGCAGCACAGCAGUAGCAAUACUGUGGGUGGCGAGUGGCGGACGGGUGAGGAAUGCAUCGGAAUCUGCCUAUUUGUGGGGGAUAACGUAGGGAAACUUACGCUAAUACCGCAUACGUCCUACGGGAGAAAGUGGGGGACCUUCGGGCCUCACGCAGAUAGAUGAGCCGAUGCCGGAUUAGCUAGUUGGCGGGGUAAAGGCCCACCAAGGCGACGAUCCGUAGCUGGUCUGAGAGGAUGAUCAGCCACACUGGAACUGAGACACGGUCCAGACUCCUACGGGAGGCAGCAGUGGGGAAUAUUGGACAAUGGGCGCAAGCCUGAUCCAGCCAUGCCGCGUGUGUGAAGAAGGCCUUCGGGUUGUAAAGCACUUUUGUCCGGAAAGAAAAGCUUCGGGUUAAUAACCCGGGGUUAUGACGGUACCGGAAGAAUAAGCC
rnacentral:rRNA from 1 species